rnacentral:rRNA from 1 species
GCCAAAAUAUAAGAGGUCCAGCCUGCCCAGUGACAAAGUUUAACGGCCGCGGUACCCUAACCGUGCGAAGGUAGCAUAAUCAUUUGUUCUUUAAAUGAGGACUAGUAUCAACGGCAUCACGAGGGUUAAACUGUCUCCUUUCUCCAAUCAGUGAAACUGAUCUUCCCGUGAAGAAGCGGGAAUUAAAUUAUAAGACGAGAAGACCCCAUGGAGCUUUAAACCCAAUUACACCCUUAUUUUCUAAUUCUUCAUAAUCUGUAAGGUGUUGUAUAUUCGGUUUUAGGUUGGGGUGACCGCGGAGCACAAAUAAGCCUCCACGAUGAAUGGAAUUUUUCCCUUAUCUAAGAAUUACAUUUCUAAGAAUUAGCAUUCUAACAUUUAAUGAUCCAAUAUUUGAUCAACGAACCAAGUUACCCUGGGGAUAACAGCGCAAUCCACUUCAAGAGCCCCUAUCGACAAGUGGGUUUACGACCUCGAUGUUGGAUCAGGGUAUCCUAGUGGUGCAGCAGUUACUAAAGGUUCGUUUGUUCAACGAUUAAAACCCUACGUGAUCUGAG